UCGAGAAUCAUUCGCAAUGGGCGCAAGCCUGACGGUGCGACGUCGCGUGGAGGAUGAAGGUCUUCGGAUUGUAAACUCCUGUCAUGUGGGAUAAAUGGCCAGGGCAUGAAUAGUGCCUUGGAAUGAUAGUACCACAGGAGGAAGGGACGGCUAACUCUGUGCCAGCAGCCGCGGUAAUUCAGAGGUCCCGAGCGUUGUUCGGAUUUACUGGGCGUAAAGGGAGCGUAGGCGGUUUGGUGUGUCGAAUGUGAAAGCCCACAACUCAACUGUGGAAUGGCAUUCGAAACUACUGAGCUAGAGUACUGGAGAGGAGAGCGGAAUUCUUGGUGUAGCGGUGAAAUGCGUAGAUUUCAAGAGGAACACCGGUGGCGAAGGCGGCUCUCUGGACAGAUACUGACGCUGAGGCUCUAAAGUUAGGGGAGCAAACAG
rnacentral:rRNA from 1 species